rnacentral:rRNA from 1 species
GACGAACGCUGGCGGCGUGCUUAACACAUGCAAGUCGAACGGAAAGGCCCUGCUUUUGUGGGGUGCUCGAGUGGCGAACGGGAGAGUAGCACGUGAGUAACCUGCCCUUGACUUUGGGAUAACUUCAGGAAACUGGGGAUAAUACCGGAUAGGAGCUCCUGCUGCAUGGUGGGGGUUGGAAAGUUUCGGCGGUUGGGGAUGGACUUGCGGGUUAUCAGCUUGUUGGGGGGGUAGUGGCUUACCAAGGCUUUGACGGGUAGCCGGCCUGAGAGGGUGACCGGCCACAUUGGGACUGAGAUACGGCCCAGACUCCUACGGGAGGCAGCAGUGGGGAAUAUUGCACAAUGGGCGGAAGCCUGAUGCAGCAACGCCGCGUGCGGGAUGACGGCCUUCGGGUUGUAAACCGCUUUCGCCUGUGACGAAGCGUGAGUGACGGUAAUGGGUAAAGAAGCACCGGCUAACUACGUG